GGCGCGAUGGAGGAAGACCACGAUCCCGGCUUCGGGCCGGGACCGGCUCUCGCGCAGCUCGACCACCUCGGUUUCAACCCGGAUGGUGUCACC
rnacentral:tRNA from 1 species